rnacentral:rRNA from 1 species
AUUCUUGAGCUAAUACACGCUAUUUAUACCACAUUAGUGGUGCGUUUAUUUGAUUAAACCAUUUUAUAUUGGUUGACUCAAAAUAUCCUCGCUGAUUUUGUUACUAAAACAUACCGUAUGUGUAUCUGGUUUAUCAACUUUCGAUGGUAGGGUAUUGGCCUACCAUGGUUGUGACGGAUAACGGAGAAUUAGGGUUCGACUCCGGAGAGGGAGCCUGAGAAACGGCUACCACAUCCAAGGAAGGCAGCAGGCGCGAAAAUUACCCAAUUUUAGUUAAAAGAGGUAGUGACGAAAAAUGACAACCAAAUAUUAUUAUUAAUAUUUGGAUUGAAAAUCUUCAAGUUUAAAUAACUUGUUGGUAAAGGAAAGGGCAAGUCUGGUGCCAGCAGCCGCGGU